UUAAAUUGAAGAGUUUGAUCAUGGCUCAGAUUGAACGCUGGCGGCAGGCCUAACACAUGCAAGUCGAGCGGUAGCACAGAGAGCUUGCUCUCGGGUGACGAGCGGCGGACGGGUGAGUAAUGUCUGGGAAACUGCCUGAUGGAGGGGGAUAACUACUGGAAACGGUAGCUAAUACCGCAUAACGUCGCAAGACCAAAGUGGGGGACCUUCGGGCCUCAUGCCAUCAGAUGUGCCCAGAUGGGAUUAGCUAGUAGGUGGGGUAACGGCUCACCUAGGCGACGAUCCCUAGCUGGUCUGAGAGGAUGACCAGCCACACUGGAACUGAGACACGGUCCAGACUCCUACGGGAGGCAGCAGUGGGGAAUAUUGCACAAUGGGCGCAAGCCUGAUGCAGCCAUGCCGCGUGUGUGAAGAAGGCCUUCGGGUUGUAAAGCACUUUCAGCGGGGAGGAAGGCGCUAAGGUUAAUAACCUUGGCGAUUGACGUUACCCGCAGAAGAAGCACCGGCUAACUCCGUGCCAGCAGCCGCGGUAAUACGGAGGGUGCAAGCGUUAAUCGGAAUUACUGGGCGUAAAGCGCACGCAGGCGGUCUGUCAAGUCGGAUGUGAAAUCCCCGGGCUCAACCUGGGAACUGCAUUCGAAACUGGCAGGCUAGAGUCUUGUAGAGGGGGGUAGAAUUCCAGGUGUAGCGGUGAAAUGCGUAGAGAUCUGGAGGAAUACCGGUGGCGAAGGCGGCCCCCUGGACAAAGACUGACGCUCAGGUGCGAAAGCGUGGGGAGCAAACAGGAUUA
rnacentral:rRNA from 1 species